rnacentral:rRNA from 1 species
GACGUAGGGGGCGAGCGUUGUCCGGAUUUAUUGGGCGUAAAGCGUGCGUAGGCGGCUGCGCAAGUCGGGUGUGAAACCCCGGGGCUCAACCCCGGAACUGCAUCCGAUACUGCGUGGCUAGAGGUAGGUAGGGGAGAUCGGAAUUCCUGGUGUAGCGGUGAAAUGCGCAGAUAUCGGGAAGAACACCCGUGGCGAAGGCGGCUCUCUGGGACGGUACUGACGCUGAGACGCGAAAGCGUGGGGAGCGAACAGG